ACUUUCCAGUUUCUCCUUCUUUUCUUCAUAAACUCACAUAAUCAGAUGAAAGGGGGAGAAGGAGCGAGUCUUGCAUCAUCGGUUAAUAGCAUGAGGACUGAUUCUGGGAGCAAUUGGUGUGCUGGUAGCUAGUAAAUGCUCACAGAUUGAUAUUGGUAGGAAGCUCUGAGUAGAGAUAUGGUUGGCAUUAAAAUUCUCUCCACCGAGGAACAAUACAUGAUCAAAGUUGAUGAGCUCAAUUUACUGUUGACAACUUCCCUCAUGCUAGUAUCAGCGGACUUCUAUCACUCUUCUAAUGACCUCAUGGCAUCAAGGGUCUAUGUUGGAGAUGACCGCCAUCUCAAGUUUUGUUGCCUGACUUUCUCAUUAGCCAUUACCACCCUACCUCUGGAUGAUCUGGCCAGCUUUUAGUGAAAGCUCGUUGUCAUUUCACUUAGGCAUUGUGUAUAUA